rnacentral:rRNA from 1 species
CAGCAGCCGCGGGAAUACGAAGGGGGCUAGCGUUGUUCGGAAUUACUGGGCAUAAAGCGCACGUAGGCGGAUAUUUAAGUCAGGGGUGAAAUCCCAGAGCUCAACUCUGGAACUGCCUUUGAUACUGGGUAUCUUGAGUAUGGAAGAGGUGAGUGGAAUUCCGAGUGUAGAGGUGAAAUUCGUAGAUAUUCGGAGGAACACCAGUGGCGAAGGCGGCUCACUGGUCCAUUACUGACGCUGAGGUGCGAAAGCGUGGGGAGCAAACAGGAUUAGAUACCCCGGUAGUCCCUGUCUCUUAUAC